AUUAUAGUUGUCACCUGCAUGUUUAUAUUCAUAUCUAGGAGGCUUAUAUUUGUCAUGUGGAGAGUUAUACUUGUCACGUGGAUAUUUGUACUCAUCACUAGGGGGUUUGUACUUAUCAUAUGGGGAUCUAUAUUUGUCACCUGGAGAUUUGUAUUUGUCACCUGGAGACUUGUAUUCCUCACUUGGGGGCUUAUAUUUAUCACGUGAGGGAUUAUAGUUGUCACCUGCAUGUUUAUAUUCAUCUCUAGGAGCCUUAUAUUUAUCAUGUGGGAAGUUAUAUUUGUCACGUGGAUAUUUGUACUCAUCACUAGGAGGUUUGUAUUUGUCAUAUGGGGAUCUAUAUUUGUCACCUGGAGACUUAUAUUCUUCACUAGGGGACUUAUAUUUAUCACGUGGAGAGUUAUAUCCAGUAUUAUAUUUGCCACGUCCAUCACCAGAAUAUCCGCCAAUGCCAUUAUAUCCAUCAUGGUAUUCAUCAUUCUUGUCAUCCAAUUUCAUUGCUACAAAUAUCAAAUAUGAAAUUUAUAAUUAGCAUAACAUCGAAUAUAUAUCAAAUGAUUAUAUAAGAAAUACAAUAUAUAUUUCAAAGAGAUAACUAAUUAAAGAAAAAUAAUAGUAAUAAACUUACAGGUCUCACAGCUUAUCAUUGCAAAAAUAGCCAAAAGAAUGCCAAGAAAUAGAAAUUCCUUGGAACCCAUCAUUUUUUUUCUUCUUUAAAGCUUAGUUAUUUUAAUUAAAGGAUGAAGAAAUUGAAGCAACGUUGAGUUAUAUUUAUACUAAGAAUUCAAUGUAUUAAAAUUGAUAAAUGGUCACCUAUCACUUAUCUUGCUCAAUUGACACGCCAUGUAAUUAAUUAUAUUUCCUCCGUUUUAAUUUAUUUGAUUAUUUAAAUAUUCGUUUAAGAAAGGAAUUUAGUAUAGGACCACAAUGUUUAUAGUUAAUAAAAGAAAACAAUAUAUUAUUUAAUUAUAAUUUUAAAAAAUGAAUAUUUUAAUAAACAUAUAUUUUAUGUUAUGAUGGGAGUGAAUCUCAAACAAAAGAGAGAAAUGUUUUUGUUAAAUAUAUUUUUAAUACUUAAAUAAAAUCCCUAAGAGUAAUAAAUAACUUAAAAAUAUUAUUAUAUUUAUCAUAAUGCAAAUUUCUACAUUUUUUUUACGUAAUUUGUUUUUCUUAGACUUUUUUUUUUGGGGGGAAAUUUGAAUAACAGAGACUAAUUCUCCAUUACUAAUAAAAAAAAGAUUCUUAAGUUUUACUUAAACACAAAUUGUUAUAAGUUAUAACCAUUCAAAGAACUUUUCAAAAACACCUUUGACAAAAUAAAAUACGUAGAAUUUAAAAGUUUUCCCAAAUAGGUUUUAAUUACUCAGAAAAUCUUUAUUGCUUUAGUUUUCUACUUCAUAUAUUUGAAGUAUUGCUAUCAAUUUUUGUGUUAGGUGCAAUUUUUGUGUUAGGUGAUCGAUAAGUAUCUUCUACUUUUAAUUUUACGUUUUUAAAUUCAAAAUUUGAGAUAAAAUUUUGAUAGAGAACACUUUAACCCUAAAGUUGAAUAUUCUUGUUAGAGGUAAAAGUAGAGUUGGGACAUCGGAUUUAUCUAGGUAAAAUAGAGUUGGGACAUCGAAUUUAUCUGAACUUAAUCUUUUGAUGUGAGACACAAAUUUUCUGUAUAACAAUUUAUUCAAAUAGCAACAAAUGAUAUCUCUGAAUUCAUAACUUCAAAAUUACAAAUAGUUCAACACUAAAAACCUUAACCGUUAAGUUUCUCAUAAUAUUUAAAUCUAAUUUUUGAGUUAAUUUGAAUCAAUCCACAUUAAUGGUGAAUCAUUUAAUUAAAUUAGUACAUAGAACACAUCAAAAUGACAAAGUCACUAAAAACGUAAAUCUACGUACAGUAAUUAUCAAACGACCUUUAAAGGUUUGUUUGGAUAUGCUAUAUAGAAUCAUAAGCUCAAAUCACAUUGAUUUUAAGUUGAAGUUCUUUUGUAUUAAACAUGCAAUUGAAUUUCUUAAAUUGUAUUUUGCUUUUCACAAAAAUAAAACCUCACGAGUUGAAAAAGCUAUCAAAUAUUAUUAUUUUCAUAUUAUUAAUCCGUAUAUUAUUUAUGUGGUACUCAAUUUUCUACCUCAGAGUCGAUAUUGAUAAAUGAUUUUUUUUUAAAAAGUGCUUUUAAUUUAACCGUGUAACAUCAAGUCAUUUCAUAUGAUUAAUUGGUAUUAAUAAUAAAUAUAACAAAUCAUAAGGAAAACUUGUGUUAAUGAAGUCAAACAUGAGAGGUUGUUUAUGAAAUUAUCACUAAAAAGAUAAUUAACUUGAAAUACCUUAAUCUUGAUUGCUCAUAAAAGAGAGACUUCGAAAUUUCUUGACUUAAAUCUUAUGUUUUCUUAAAAUAAAUAAAAUUUAGAAACCUUUCUUUAGUUUUAAAUUUAUUCAAAUGGGUACAUGAGGAUCUAGCAAUUUUAUUAUUGAUUUGCAUAAACUUGACGUUAUUCUAGAAACUCAUAAAUUUUAAGUUCAAAGUUUUCCUAUAAUGAUUAUUGGAUAUUUUCGUGGGAUAGUAAUUGUUAAAGUAUUGUUGUUUUGAAGUAUGGCAAAGUUAAGGAAAUUGUAGUAGUAACAUGACAAAAGAAAGAAGAUGUGUGUCUUAUUUGUUGAGUUCGAAAUGUAUAAUUGUCAUCCUCAAAAAGGGGGAACUUGUUAAAAUGAUAAAGAUUUUGAUAAUUGACAAAUAUAGAAACAGGUUGUACAGACGUGUUCUUUACAGAACGAAUCCGACUUGGAUAAGGAGAACGUCAACCACGUAAAUUAGAAGUUAUAAAGUUGUGGAAUUAUUAUUUUUUCGACAAGCAACAAGUACAAAAAGUUUCCUUUUAUAAAGGAGUUCAAAGCCAAGUGAAAGAAGGAAAACUAAUUCCUAUUUAAGGAAAUUUAUUUAAGGAAAUUGUAUAGAAAAGGAGUCCAAGUAGAAGUCAACAAGGAUUUGUAGAAGGCAAAUACAAGUUGAAUUAUACAAGAAUUUGUUGAAGUUCUGAUCUAUAAAUAGGGAGUUAUUUACAUAAAAAAAAAUUGCGCACUUACAUAGAGAAGAUUAAAACACAAUCAAGAAGUUUAAAAGAGUUUAGAGAUUUAUUGGGAGUGUAGCAAUUUGUGAAUAAAAAUUGUAAGAUUGUAUCCAAGAGUCUUGUUUACAAUCUGAGUUUUGUGAGUAGGAGUUGUUCGACAAGUUAUAGAACUUGAAGAACAUUGGAACAUAUAUAACCGGGGGGUUUUGUGUCUUUGUGUAGCUAGAAUUAUUCUAGGAAUUAGAGUUUAUAAUUCCUUAGGUUACAUAGCUUUUUAAUUUUUUGUUGAAACUUGAAAUUUAAUAAAGUGGAGUUAAAUCAUACAGAGAUGUAGGUCGUGAAUUUUACCCUUGUGAGUUGGGGUUUUUAGCGAUAAAAUAUUGUGUCAUUAUUUUAUUUAUUUCACAAAACGUAAUUGUUGUAAUUUCUCAAAGGAACAUAUAGAAUAAACAUGUUUCUAAGGCGAAUUUGGGGGUCAGAAUUCUAACAAUUGGUAUCAGAGCAGGUUAUCUUUGAAGAGUCUAACAACUCAAGAUAAGAUCAUAGAGAAUUUUGCACCUCCUCUUGGGCAUGGUCAAGGGCAACACAUCAACAGACCACCAUUAUUUAAUGGAGAAUACUACUCUUGAUGGAAGACAAAAAUGGAAAAUUUCAUUCAAGCUGAAGAUUACGAACUAUGGGUUAAAAUUACUAAUGGACCAUUAGUUCCUACUAUUACUGAUAGUGAAGGGAAUAAGGUACCUAAACCUACAGAAAAGUCUGGAGAAGCCGAUUACAAGAUGUUAGGAAAGAAUGCAAAAGCUAAGUGCAUUCUCGUAUGUGGAUUAGGACCUGAUGAGUUUAACCGCAUCUCUAGUUGUACCUCUGCAAAACAAAUAUGGGACAUUUUAAAAAACGCUCGAAGGUACAACUCAAGUUCUUAAAUUCAGAAUUGCCAGACUUUGUUCUGAAUAUGAAGCCUUCAAGAUAAAAUUCGGAGAAUCACUUCAAGAUAUGAUCACCAGAUUUACCAUUGUUGUAAACGAGUUAAUAUCCUUGGACAAAGUAUACACCACUGAGGAACAGAUAGACAAAGUACUAGGGACUCUGCCUAGAUCAUGGGAAAUAAAAGUUACUGCAAUCAGAGAAGUCAAAGAUCUAAUCAAUAUGACUUUGGACGAAUUAGUAGGAAAUCUCAAGACUUAUGAGAUGAAUGUUGACAAAAGAGGUGAAGGAAACAAAGAGAAAAAUCUUGAAUUUAAAGAAACUGAAAGUGAUGAAUUUGACAUAGAUGAUGAUGAUCUUGCUCUGAUAAGUAAGAACUUCAAGAAACUCUUAAAAAGGAGAUUAAACGCUAGCAAGAAAUCACCACCCCAAAAAGUAAGAAAUAUUGAGAGACUAUUAAGCUAUAAUAGAAAACCAUUUUAAAUAGUUUUGUUUGGUACUUACAAAAAUUAUAAGAAAAGAAACAGAGAAAUCAAAUUUGGCAAGAGGUAGAGUAUGUCUCUAUGUUUAGAUCAUAUUAAUUAUUUCAUCGAUCUCAAAUUCUCAAUUUAAUUUAAAUUUUGAAUAUUAAUUCAAGUCAUUUUGAUUUUUGUACAAAUUCAACGUAUAAACAAUUCGUUUGUCACCCAUACUAACACAAAUAUGUAUGAUUACUGGUGUAGAACAUGCAAAUGAUGCCAAACUUCUAGGAAUAGGAUUUCAAGGAUAUUUAGGAGAUGGAAUAGGAGGACUUUCAAGAUCAAGAUUUGGAGGAGUCGGGUUUCCAUGGGGAGGAUAUGGUGGUUAUGGUGGUGGUCGUGGAUAUUAUGGUGGUUAUCCAAGAGGAGGAUAUGGUGGGUUUUAUCCUCGAAUUGGUUAUGGUGGAAGAGGAUACCCUAGAGGUGGUUGGUAUGGAGAAUUGCCUCGCAACUAAUUAAAUAAUUACAUACUGAGGAAUAUUUAUGUAUAUCCCUCUAAUGUAUCAGUUAUUAUGUUCACGAUAAAUAUUGAGUAGCCAAGUAUUAUUCAUAUCUAUAUAUAUUUGUAUUGUGUGUUUAAUUAAUAGGUAACGUAGUUUUGUUGUUGAAAGUAUGAAUAAAUAAAUGUAUCAUAAAUCUCCAUUCACUUACUAUGGAUGGAUGUUCAUGAUCAUGUAAUGUUUCUUUAAAUAAUAAUAUAAUUAUCAUAGAAUUUAAUUUCUUUACGUCCUUUUCCGUCUACGUAUUAUUAUUCCAAUGAUCCAAAUAGUUUAAGUGAAGUUGAAUUUUUAGUUGUAUUUGUUGACUAUAUUUCGCUUUACGUAAUAAUGGAGUUUAUAUAUUUUAGAUAAUUAAAUUUAGAUUUUUACUUUUUUCUAUUUCUAUUUUAAUAUACGAUACAUAUUUUAGGAUUAAAUAAAAUUUAAAUUUAUCGAAUAAUCCAAAGGAAAUGAAUAACCUGAUAUACAAGUGGGUUGCUUAAUUAUGAAAAAAGUCUUGUUACUGUUGGUAUGAGAUUAGUAACAGAUUUUUGAAUUCAAAGUAUAUAUAUAUAUAUAAUUAUAUAUAUUGGGACAAUACAUCGAAUUUCCUUAAAUUUGUUUCAAUUUUUCCAUUAGAUACUUAAUUAAACUUCAUUCAAAAAAAAGUACUAAUGAAAAACAAAUAGUGAAGAUCAGGGCAACAUCUCUCAAAUAACUCCAAAGGAAAUAAAUAACCUGAUCUACAAGUGGACUGCUUUAGAAAAAUUACCAUGUAUUUGAGAUCGCUUACUUCACUUCUUCUCUCGUUUGCAGAAAAAUCACCAUGUAUUUGGAAUUUCGUUCACCUCACUUCUUCUCUUGUUUGUCUCGUAUGAUGUAGCGGAUGCAAAAUUGUUAUUAAGAAUAUCAAUGGUUACAGUAAAAAAUACAAAAUUAUCGGGUCAUGUUAUGUUAUACAUGUGGAAUUAUUUUGUUUGGUGUUAGUGUCGCAUUCAAAAUUUAUUGUUGGUAUAUAAAAAUUAAUUCUCGCAAUAAUAGUUAUCAUCUAUAUAUAUUUUAGAUAAAUAACACGAAAAUGUACAAGUAUCCUUUUAGACUAUGAUCGAAAAUUCAGAGACACGCUUUAACUAAACUAAGGUCCUAUUACUUCCGAACUUAAUUUUUGUAAUUUUGUGCACCUUUUUGGCUUAUGUGACAGUCAAAUAUCUCUCACGCGCCUCAAUUGCGUGAAGUUACGGAGUGGGUCAUGUGAGACAAAAAGUAUACAAAAUUUAUAAAAAAAAACACUAGUUCAGAAAUAAUGGAACCUUAAUUUAGUUAAAAUAUGUCUCUGAGAUUUCGAUUAUAAUUUAGAGAAAUACUUAUGCGUCUUCCCAUAAAUAAUCAAUAAUUCUUUUGAAAAUGAUUUAUUAUGUUAUUACAUGUUUUCUGUAACGAUAUUUCAUUAUAGUUGUAAAAAGUAUUUGGGCAAAUGACAUUUAUCAGUUUAGUUACAUUUACCAAAAAUUUCAGCACAAUUUAGAAAAUCGUGAAGAUGCACUUGUAAUUUCUUUCCCUCUCGUUUUAAAGUAGCUUGUAAUUUGCACCAAAGGUAUGUCUUGAUUUCCAUUUUUUCGAAAAUCAAAUUAAUUAAUCUAUGAAAUCAAUUUUUAUCAUAUUAACUUAAUAAAAUUAAAAGAGUUCGAGAAGUGAAAAACAAUAUAAAAUUAGUCAAUGGGGGAGUAGUUUAACAAUAAAUUGUGAAAUAAGAAGAAACAUAUGUUUGUCGUCAACACAUAUUCAAUAUAAUCAAGAACAAGAAGAAUUAUACAUUAUGGAAAAUUGAAAAUAUAUUAUCACAGUAUAUUGUGUUACAUUUUACAACAAAAUAUUACAUGAUCAACCAUACAUAUGAACUGAAUGAUGUUUUAUUCAUACGAUUUUAGAGUAGCAAGACCAUUACUAUAUCAUACAUCUUGCCACUACAUACAACGAUUUAUAAUAUUAUUUGAUGAUUUGUUCUGAGACAAUUGGCUAGUCACUUACUCAUGGCCACCAAUGGGAGGGUUGUAUGCACCACUUCAAGGCUUGUAUUUGUCAUUAGGGGGCUUAUAUUUGUCACUUGGAGAUUUGUAUUCAUUAUCAGGGGAUUUGUAUUUGUCACCUGGAAACUUGUAAUCGUCACUUGGGGGCUUAUAUUUAUCAUGUGAGGGAUUAUAGUUGUCACCUUCAUGUUUAUAUUCAUCUCUAUAAGGCUUAUAUUUGUCACGUGAGGGAUUAUAGUUGUCACCUUCAUGUUUAUAUUCAUCUCUAGGAGGCUUAUAUUUAUCAUGUGAGGGAUUAUAGUUGUCACCUGCAUGUUUAUAUUCAUAUCUAGGAGGCUUAUAUUUGUCAUGUGGAGAGUUAUACUUGUCACGUGGAUAUUUGUACUCAUCACUAGGGGGUUUGUACUUAUCAUAUGGGGAUCUAUAUUUGUCACCUGGAGAUUUGUAUUUGUCACCUGGAGACUUGUAUUCCUCACUUGGGGGCUUAUAUUUAUCACGUGAGGGAUUAUAGUUGUCACCUGCAUGUUUAUAUUCAUCUCUAGGAGCCUUAUAUUUAUCAUGUGGGAAGUUAUAUUUGUCACGUGAAUAUUUGUACUCAUCACUAGGAGGUUUGUAUUUGUCAUAUGGGGAUCUAUAUUUGUCACCUGGAGACUUAUAUUCUUCACUAGGGGACUUAUAUUUAUCACGUGGAGAGUUAUAUCCAGUAUUAUAUUUGCCACGUCCAUCACCAGAAUAUCCGCCAAUGCCAUUAUAUCCA
rnacentral:lncRNA from 1 species